GGCAUUUCUGUCUGGACCAUCUACCUAGGCUGCCCCACCUCCUGUCCUUCAGAAUACGGGGCAGUGGCAGCACUGGAAUGUCAAGCCUGUCUGAAGGGCAUCUGGUUCAGCCGUUUUGAGGUGGAGGGAGGGGAGGGAGAGACCCUCAGGGAGGGAGCAAAGAGGAAACCGCAUCAUCGAGAUGAGCACUUCCUGUUGGUGUGAACAUCUCUCUCCUCUUCCACCCAGAAGAUCCGAGAGGCCGCGGUGGGUCUGAGGCUGAUGUGCAGAUUCGUCCACUGGCCUCUUUCCCACUCCAGUGGAGCAAACAGUGUUGCAGAUGGGGAAGCCGGGCUUCGACAGCACCCAGUUAAGCUGAUGGUCACACUUGACACCCUGGGAUGAAGCAAAGAAGGCCACCUGGCAGGAACAUUACACCAACCUGCCAGCUGAACCCUGCAAAUCCACAGCUCCUUGACUGGCUAAGCAGGGGCUUUGAACUAACUCCAUUAUUCAAAGUGAAGACACCCCUGGGGAGAGACAGCAGCAGCUGUACCAGAUAAAACUUCGUAUCAAUAAUUUAGCAGAGAGGAGAUUUUGAUAGGAUACAGGAAAAGGGAUCCAGAAAUGAAAUAAAUUGUGCAAGGCAACUGUUCCUUCCUUCCUUGUUUUUGCUGAGUUUGUGAGCCUAGGUGCAAGGUGAGGAAAGGUCUUGUAUUCUCCCCGGCUCCCUGGCUUCCCCUCCCCUACAGGACGAACCUCCCGCUUCAUAGUGGGCAACAAGCUAGACCAUGGAUGAGACUCUGUGGGCGCGUCUCUUACACAAAGGGGCGGGGCCCACCUACCACCGCCCACAAAUGACCAAACAGACACAAAGGAGUGCUGACCUAGGAUCCUGUGGGAAGGGUGAGGUUAUAGAGACUUCAGGAGCUCCAGAAAAGCAUGGAGCUAGAGGCAGGAAGAAAAGGAGGGCACUAGAGGGGAAGAAAGGAAGCCAGACGGGAAUUUUUGAAGAGGUGGAUUCCAGCAACCUAUUUACAAGUCACAUAUCCACUCUUUCAAGAAGUAACAGUUGAAAUACAUAAAAUACCAUCAAAAUCCCCUGUUGACUGUUAGUUAGCUCCAAUGAAUAGAGGAGGACAGGAUUCGGCAACAAGGUUUUAUGAAGUUCCUUUUGUUUCUAUCACUUAACUCCGUGCUUACAGGAAUAAAACGGAGACUAGUGAGCACACUACAGAGGAAAUACAUAUCCUAUUUCAAGGUCAACUACUAACGGGUAGAAAGAGUUUUACUGUGUCCCUCCAGAGAUGUCAAAACUUAAAUAAUGGAAGCAGCAUUUCCUUGAUUCUUCUCUGAUGGAGAGUUUUUCCUAAUGACUGGUGCUUUACAGCUUGGGUAGUCUGAACUGGUCAUGAAAACACAUCAAAAGUAUGGAAUCAGUACUAAGAGUUUUUAAAAGUACCACCAGGCAAAGACGGGUUUGUCUACUGCGCGGUCUUGGAACUAGAACACAGUACCAAUUUAUCUUUACCUACAAUGGAAAUCACGCCAAAUAUCUUCCCUUCGGUCAGCCCAUGAUCUAAAUCGGACUGCCUCCCCUCCCCCUAAGUUUGUAAAGAGUCCCCCACAGCUGCUACUGGUAUGGAAGAGUAUUAUCCUAUAGCAUCGAUGUCAUCAUCGUUUAGAAGCCAGGUCAUAGUUUUAAAACCAGGAAGCAUCUGUAGCAUAUAAAAUUACUUUCAACUUCUGAGGCUUCCAGGCCUAAAGCCAAAAGGUAAUGAGUUACCUCAAAAAUAUUUCUUCACCAGAAAGAAAUUAUUUGGGGGGUAAGGGGUGAAACAAAAGCAAUUCACACCACCUUACCCAGGGGUGAAGAGUAACCAUCCAUCGCGCCUUGCUUUCCAUCUCUUCAUUUUCUGUUCCCUGCCUUUUCCUCCAAGACCAAAAUUCUUUGCAUGCCCCAAUUCUGCAUCCUCUCUACAACAUUCCCCAAAGGCCUGCUCUUCAGCUCUGGGGGCUAAAGGCAUUCCGAGUCCACAAGCUUUUCAUUAUUGCUUAUAUUUCUUUUCUGCUGACCAUGAUUGCACAUGAACUUGCCAACAAUCUCUACUCAGGAGAGAGAUUCAAUUCUUUUUACGAAGAAAAAUCAUUUGGUACUUUAUUUCUCCGUGAAGCUCUCAUAAUCGAAAGGAGUUCAAUGCAUCCAGCAAGUGACUCAUUUUCCUUAAUGGCUUUCAGACACUGGCAUGCACAUUCCAACAGCCAGAGCAGGGAAGGUAGGACCGCCCCAGGUUAGACAAGGGAGGCUCCAUAUCAGCGUGCCCAGUGGAACAGGCCAGCCGGGAGCAGGGGGCUGCUUUGGAAAGGGCAUAGGCUUGGAAGCAGAUCGUCCUCGAUACACUGUCCACCAGAUAAGUUAGCCUGACUGAGCCUCAGGCUUCUCAUCUACGAAAUGGGAAUACCACCGUGUAGAGUUUCAGUGGGGAAUAAAUGAAAUAACUCUCACGCCUGGCACAUGGUCCAAUGUCAAUAAAUACUUUUGCUUUGCUCAUUCUCCGGCCUCUCUUUGAAUAUCCUCUUAGAAUACACACAGAUGUUGGGGAAUCCUCAGACUAG